rnacentral:misc_RNA from 1 species
CUCCCUCAGCAAGGACAGCAGAGGACCAGCUAAGAGGGAGAGAAGCAACUACAGACCCCCCCUGAAAACAACCCUCAGACGCCACAUCCCCUGACAAGCUGCCAGGCAGGUUCUCUUCCUCUCACAUACUGACCCACGGCUCCACCCUCUCUCCCCUGGAAAGGACACCAUGAGCACUGAAAGCAUGAUCCGGGACGUGGAGCUGGCCGAGGAGGCGCUCCCCAAGAAGACAGGGGGGCCCCAGGGCUCCAGGCGGUGCUUGUUCCUCAGCCUCUUCUCCUUCCUGAUCGUGGCAGGCGCCACCACGCUCUUCUGCCUGCUGCACUUUGGAGUGAUCGGCCCCCAGAGGGAAGAGUUCCCCAGGGACCUCUCUCUAAUCAGCCCUCUGGCCCAGGCAGUCAGAUCAUCUUCUCGAACCCCGAGUGACAAGCCUGUAGCCCAUGUUGUAGCAAACCCUCAAGCUGAGGGGCAGCUCCAGUGGCUGAACCGCCGGGCCAAUGCCCUCCUGGCCAAUGGCGUGGAGCUGAGAGAUAACCAGCUGGUGGUGCCAUCAGAGGGCCUGUACCUCAUCUACUCCCAGGUCCUCUUCAAGGGCCAAGGCUGCCCCUCCACCCAUGUGCUCCUCACCCACACCAUCAGCCGCAUCGCCGUCUCCUACCAGACCAAGGUCAACCUCCUCUCUGCCAUCAAGAGCCCCUGCCAGAGGGAGACCCCAGAGGGGGCUGAGGCCAAGCCCUGGUAUGAGCCCAUCUAUCUGGGAGGGGUCUUCCAGCUGGAGAAGGGUGACCGACUCAGCGCUGAGAUCAAUCGGCCCGACUAUCUCGACUUUGCCGAGUCUGGGCAGGUCUACUUUGGGAUCAUUGCCCUGUGAGGAGGACGAACAUCCAACCUUCCCAAACGCCUCCCCUGCCCCAAUCCCUUUAUUACCCCCUCCUUCAGACACCCUCAACCUCUUCUGGCUCAAAAAGAGAAUUGGGGGCUUAGGGUCGGAACCCAAGCUUAGAACUUUAAGCAACAAGACCACCACUUCGAAACCUGGGAUUCAGGAAUGUGUGGCCUGCACAGUGAAGUGCUGGCAACCACUAAGAAUUCAAACUGGGGCCUCCAGAACUCACUGGGGCCUACAGCUUUGAUCCCUGACAUCUGGAAUCUGGAGACCAGGGAGCCUUUGGUUCUGGCCAGAAUGCUGCAGGACUUGAGAAGACCUCACCUAGAAAUUGACACAAGUGGACCUUAGGCCUUCCUCUCUCCAGAUGUUUCCAGACUUCCUUGAGACACGGAGCCCAGCCCUCCCCAUGGAGCCAGCUCCCUCUAUUUAUGUUUGCACUUGUGAUUAUUUAUUAUUUAUUUAUUAUUUAUUUAUUUACAGAUGAAUGUAUUUAUUUGGGAGACCGGGGUAUCCUGGGGGACCCAAUGUAGGAGCUGCCUUGGCUCAGACAUGUUUUCCGUGAAAACGGAGCUGAACAAUAGGCUGUUCCCAUGUAGCCCCCUGGCCUCUGUGCCUUCUUUUGAUUAUGUUUUUUAAAAUAUUUAUCUGAUUAAGUUGUCUAAACAAUGCUGAUUUGGUGACCAACUGUCACUCAUUGCUGAGCCUCUGCUCCCCAGGGGAGUUGUGUCUGUAAUCGCCCUACUAUUCAGUGGCGAGAAAUAAAGUUUGCUUAGAAAAGAA